rnacentral:rRNA from 1 species
AACAAACGCUGGCGGCGUGCCUAAUACAUGCAAGUCGAACGGGGAAAACUUUCGGGUGAGUACUAGUGGCGCACGGGUGAGUAACGCGUGGAUAAUCUGCCUUAGAGUGGGGGAUAACUAGUCGAAAGAUUAGCUAAUACCGCAUAAGACCACAAGAACUGCGGUUCAAGGGGUCAAAGGUUUUUCGCUCUAAGAUGAGUCCGCGUAAGAUUAGCUAGUUGGUAGGGUAACGGCCUACCAAGGCGACGAUCUUUAACUGGUCUGAGAGGAUGAUCAGUCACACUGGAACUGGGACACGGUCCAGACUGCUACGGGAGGCAGCAGUAGGGACUAUUGCACAAUGGAGGAAACUCUGAUGCAGCGACGCCGCGUGAGUGAUGAAGGCCUUCGGGUCGUAAAGCUCUGUCGUAGGGGAAUAAUACAAUGAAGGUACCCUGUAAGAAAGGAUCGGCUAACUUCGUGCCAGCCGCCGCAGUAACAC